rnacentral:rRNA from 1 species
UACAGAGGUCUCAAGCGUUUGUUCGGAUUCAUUGGGCGUAAAGGGUGCGUAGGUGGCGCGCUAAGUCGGGUGUGAAAUUUCGGAGCUUAACUCCGAAACUGCAUUCGAUACUGGCGUGCUUGAGGACUGGAGAGGAGACUGGAAUUCAUGGUGUAGCAGUGAAAUGCGUAGAGAUCAUGAGGAAGACCAGUGGCGAAGGCGGGUCUCUGGACAGUUCCUGACACUGGAGGCACGAAGGCCAGGGGAGCAAACGGG